rnacentral:rRNA from 2 species
UGCAAGUCGAACGAGUUCUCGUUGAUGAUCGGUGCUUGCACCGAGAUUCAACAUGGAACGAGUGGCGGACGGGUGAGUAACACGUGGGUAACCUGCCCUUAAGUGGGGGAUAACAUUUGGAAACAGAUGCUAAUACCGCAUAGAUCCAAGAACCGCAUGGUUCUUGGCUGAAAGAUGGCGUAAGCUAUCGCUUUUGGAUGGACCCGCGGCGUAUUAGCUAGUUGGUGAGGUAAUGGCUCACCAAGGCGAUGAUACGUAGCCGAACUGAGAGGUUGAUCGGCCACAUUGGGACUGAGACACGGCCCAAACUCCUACGGGAGGCAGCAGUAGGGAAUCUUCCACAAUGGACGCAAGUCUGAUGGAGCAACGCCGCGUGAGUGAAGAAGGCUUUCGGGUCGUAAAACUCUGUUGUUGGAGAAGAAUGGUCGGCAGAGUAACUGUUGUCGGCGUGACGGUAUCCAACCAGAAAGCCACGGCUAACUACGUGCCAGCAGCCGCGGUAAUACGUAGGUGGCAAGCGUUAUCCGGAUUUAUUGGGCGUAAAGCGAGCGCAGGCGGUUUUUUAAGGUCUGAUGUGAAAGCCCUCGGGCUUAACCGAGGGAAGGCGCAUCGGGAACUGGGAAACUUGAGUGCCAGAAGAGGACAAGGUGGGAACUCCAUGGUGUAAGCGGGUUGAAAUGCGUA